rnacentral:tRNA from 1 species
GCGGGAAUAGCUCAGAUGGUAGAGCGCCACCUUGCCAAGGUGGAGGUCGCGGGUUCAAGCCCCGUUUCCCGCUCUA